rnacentral:rRNA from 1 species
UGGGGAAUAUUGCACAAUGGGCGAAAGCCUGAUGCAGCAACGCCGCGUGAGUGAUGAAGGCCUUCGGGUUGUAAAGCUCUGUCUUCUGGGACGAUAAUGACGGUACCAGAGGAGGAAGCCACGGCUAACUACGUGCCAGCAGCCGCGGUAAUACGUAGGUGGCAAGCGUUGUCCGGAUUUACUGGGCGUAAAGGAUGCGUAGGCGGAUACUUAAGUCAGAUGUGAAAAUCCCGGGCUUAACUUGGGAACUGCAUUUGAAACUGGGUAUCUAGGGUGCGGGAGAGGAAAGUGGAAUUCCUAGUGUAGCGGUGAAAUGCGUAGAGAUUAAGAAGAACACCAGUGGCGAAGGCGACUUUCUGGACUGUAACUGACGCUGAGGCGCGAAAGCGUGGGGAGCAAACA